AACAUAGGGGGCGAGCGUUAUCCGGAAUUAUUGGGCGUAAAGAGUACGUAGGCGGCCUGUUAAGUCUGAUGUGAAAUCCCGCGGCUUAACCGCGGAGGGUCAUUGGAAACUGGCAGGCUUGAGUACGGCAGGGGUAAGUGGAAUUCCAAGUGGAGCGGUGAAAUGCGUAGAUAUUUGGAGGAACACCAGUGGCGAAGGCGGCUUACUGGGCCGGAACUGACGCUGAGGUACGAAAGCGUGGGGAGCAAACAGG
rnacentral:rRNA from 2 species